rnacentral:rRNA from 1 species
AGCAGCCGCGGUAAUUCCAGCUCCAAUAGCGUAUAUUAAAGUUGUUGCAGUUAAAAAGCUCGUAGUUGAAUUUCGGGAUCAAAUUGUCGGUCGUGCCUCGGUACGUACUGGCGUUAUUGGUUCCUCCCUUCUGAAGAACCGCGAUGUCAUUAAUUUGGUGUCGCGGGGAAUCAGGACUGUUACUUUGAAAAAAAUUAGAGUGUUUAAAGCAGGCUCGCGCUUGAAUACAUUAGCAUGGAAUAAUGAAAUAGGACGUUUGAUUCUAUUUUGUUGGUUUCUAGGAUCGACGUAAUGAUUAAUAGGGAUAGUUGGGGGCAUUAGUAUUCAAUUGUCAGAGGUGAAAUUCUUGGAUUUAUUGAAGACUAACUACUGCGAAAGCAUUUGCCAAGGAUGUUUUCAUUAAUCAAGAACGAAAGUUAGGGGAUCGAAGACGAUCAGAUACCGUCGUAGUCUUAACCAUAAACUAUGCCGACUAGGAAUCGGAUGAUGUUAAUUUUUUAAUGACUCAUUCGGCGCCUUA